AACAGCAUCUUUCCAGUGCUCAUCCAAUAGCUACUUGCACUCCAGAACCACAACCUGUAAGUCACCCACUACAAGAACCUCCUUCACAGCAACAACCAGCAUCUCAACCACAAGAACUUGAUUUGCAGCAAGCAGCACCUCAUCCACAAGAAUUAGCAGCUUGUCCAGCGAUUGAGAGAAAGCAAAUCUCUGUUCAGUUUCCACGUAGGCACAUCACAGUUAAGCAGAGAGGGCAAGAGCCUCGACCGUGACGUUGCCGUACAGAUGCUACUUUAUUCACAUGCCCCUUCUGCACAACUGAUGUACUGUAUGUAAGCCAAGACAGUACCAUCAAAUAAUGACCCAUAUAGCUGGCCAUAAACUGAGAGCGGUUGAAUAUGGAGAUUAUGUUAUGUACAGCUGUAACAUUGGCUGUGGUCAAAAGGCCAGACAUUUUCACUGCUGCAAGUGUCCCAAGA